UCAACCAAUUCUCGUACGUCGAUGAAACUCAAGAUCUGUUGAAAACCUCGCUGUUGUCCUGUCCGUGAGUGUGUGCAGGAUAAUCCAAGGCAAUUGAUUUCACGUUGCUCACAAGAACUCAAAUCAUCAUAGACCAAAAAUUGGCUAAUUUUCCUUCGUGAUUUGGGCCCCUGUACCCAUACAAAAUUCAACUGACACAGGAGCUGCAUGUAAAUGACAGCGACGUGUAUUAGCUGACUGGACUCUUUUUUUUUGCACUUGGAAACCUAAUUUUCAGCAAAACAAUUUUCAGUCAACAGUUCAAUUUUCAGCAAAAUUCAGUCAACAAACAUAAUUGUCGAAUUUGGGACCACACCAGAGCGACCACCAAAGGACCCUCAACAUGACCCAGACUCUGGUUCAUAUGCUCCAGAUAUAUGAUUCAGGUUUUAUUCCAAUUAAAAUGGUCAUUCUACAUGUUUGAAAAAUUCACAAUAAUCAUUAUGUAGUUACUAGUCUUGUUUCUAUUAGAAACUUGAAACUUUUUUGGCUGCUGUUAUGUAUCUCGCUUUCUUAUAGAAUGUUUAAGAAUGUUUUAUCAUUUUUAGUUUGUUAAAGCGUCUUGGAGGCAAGAGAUAAUGCCGAUAUCAUGGAUAUUAACAAAACACAGAGAUAACAUAAUGCCACUGAGAUAUGAGAUAACCUACUCAUAUGCAUGAGACCUGCUUGAAGAAAUAAUUAAAUUUAAAUAUAAACAUUUUAUAAGAACUAUUACAUAAAUUAUUGCCCGGGCAAACGGGCAAUAGAAUAUACAGUCCAGUUAAGACGACAAAGGGACUACUACAGAGCUGCGCCACAUUCCCUACCCUGUUCAAAAUAUUCCCGGAAAAAAACCCUGAAACUAUGGAAAAUCAAGUGCGAGGGAAUGGGUAUACCAGUAAGGCACGAAGAUCUAUAUAGGUAUAUAUCUACAUUCCAAGUUUUGCUGACGACAGUGACGACCAAUAUAGUGAUCGCACAAGACGAAGAUGACCUCAGUUUUAUGAUGAGAAAACUGGAACAGGAAUAUACAAAGAAUGGGAUGGAAAUAAACCUAAAGAAAACUGAAUAGGUACCUAACAACGGAGAAUACAGGACUAAAACAGCAAACAGCUGGAAAUAGCCGAGGGUAAACAAAUCAGAGGAACUGACAAGUACAAGUAUUUAGGUUUCAUAAUAUCAAACAAAGAAAAAACGGAAGAUGAUAUGAAAAAUAGACUAGGACCAACAAGAAACUGCAUACGAAAAUUGAACCCGGUACCUACUGUGGGAUAAGAACAUAUCAGCAUAAAAACAAAAAGAAGAAUAUAAAAUAUCAUGACAAUAAUUGUCAUAUUGUAUAAGGUAUGUGCAGGUAAUAACGCCAGCUUGGUAAUAUCGCCGACUCGUGAUUUCUUAGAAAGUACGUUUGCUAAAUAAUAAAUGGUAAUAACAUGGAUAAUAUGUUUCUUAUAGUAUUCUAAAUCACGUGAUCAUGUUUGCGAUGACCUUAGAUUCGCCAGCAGUGUUUAAUGUGUUUAGGACAGUUGAGUGUCAGUGUUCGGUGUAGAAGUAGUACUGUUUAUAAUUUUACAUCUGUUGUGUUUAUUAGAUUGGAGCGGCGUUAUUGAUGAGAAUAAAAUGAUGCAUUCAGAUUUUUAAGAUAGUUUUGCUUAUCUUCGAAAACCAAAUUACAAACAUUUUAUGUGCAUGUCAGUAAUAUCGCAAGUCCAAUGGAUGGUAAUAACUCCUUGGCGUUACCAUCCCUACUUGGAGAAGGUUGCCUUACGUCGAAAGUGGAAAAAUUAAAAAGCGGUCUGCCGUAGAGUCAUCCACAAGCAACAGUGAUUCUGAUGAUAUAGAGUUAAGUGAGAUACAAACAUCAGAUGAAGAAAACACAUGACACUUCAUUUUCAGAUAUGCUAAUUACUCCAGAUUAUGGUACAAAAAUCUUAUUGUUUUUAAAUACUUACUUAUUGUUAUUUUUCAGCAAAUAUAUAAUUUUGAAGUAUAA
rnacentral:lncRNA from 1 species